UAACAGAAAUAUUAAUUUAAUCAAUAACAUUAAUACGUAUACCAUUUUUGGUACAUAAAGAUAGAUAAAAAAACACUGUCAAGGUUUGAUAUAUUUCUAAGUCAUUGCUAAUUAAUCUGCUUCAAAAAUUCUGAAUGUGUUACUCAAUUUAUUUCACACUACUCAUUAGUAUACUGUAAUUGCCAUUUAUUUCAUUCUGCGUAUAAAUCCAUGCCAAUUCCAGCUGCAGUUGUAACCAAACAGAUCAGUGUGUGAAAGCUGUCGACCGCGUAAAAUUCCUCGUAGUCGUGCAAGAACUGUCGAAGACAUUGCAACUGCUUUGGACCCAAUAACGACCCAUUGCGACAUAGACGCCUUCGUUCCCCAUGUACAUACCACAUUCUUUAGGAAUAUUACUGAGGGCCAGUAUCUUCAACAACCAUGUAGUCCCCUUCUUGUAGGUAUCGAUGAAAGUACUCCAAAACGCUGUCUACAUUGGCAUGUGCAUCCUCGAUGAACACCCACGGAUGAGGGAGGCUCUUGAGGAAUUCGUCAGUAAAGGUUUUCUCAAUUUCAAACGAGUCGCCUUGAAGAAAGAUUACAUUUUCCGGCUUCAACUUGAGUAGUAUAGGAACUGAGGGUUCUAGACCACUUUUUGGAAUUAUUUUUUGGACCAUUUUUUCUAGACCAUUUUUUCAGCCCGCGAUCCCACCCCACUUCCGGUCAGCGGUUUCCCAGAUUUUCCCCAAAGAACGCGGGCCCAUUUUUUUCUAGACCAUUUUUUUCUAGGCCAUUUUUUCAGUGGUCUUUUUUACCUCAUUUUUUAUCUAUUAUUUAAAUCUUUAUUAUUAUAUUUAAUUAUACUCAAGGGGCCGAAGCUCUUAGGGUCAAACACAUUACUUGAAUCAUCUUUGUUGUUCUGUGUGUUGACGUCAACGUUAAUAUUAUUUGAUACAGAGAAAUUUAUAUCACCAACCUUUCCAUUCUUACUAGAACUCUUACGACAACCACAAAUCUUACCUAAGCAGGAGAAGCAUGACCUCCACCUUGACAUCUUAUCUUAUGAUAGACCACAUGUUAAAUACCUGACCCCGAAUAUCGGAGUGACCAGCAAAAGGACAUAUCCAUACUCGAUCCAGUGGGCAUUGAGUGUUCAGGUUUAACUAUAAUACACCAAGCCAGCGUGUUAUCUACCAACUCAACCUGGGCUCCUAAAUAGAACAUACUAUUACCCUUGAAAACGUAGCAAGCUGUACUUCCACCUGUAGUUGUGUAAGUUCCAUUAAACCAGGUGUGUGACAGUCUUCUUAAGUCUAUUGUUCUCAGAGCGAUUUCCUUCUUAACCUGGGUAAAUUUUCCAUUAGAUUGUUUCUCCCAUACAGUAGCCCAUAGAAUUAGAGCUAGUGGUAUAUUUUGAAUAGUUGAAAAACGUGGGUAGUCUGAUUUAAUAGUAAUUGACUCAAGGUUGAGGUCUGUCAUAUUAUUAAUAGGAUCUGUUCUCCAUGAAGGUGGAAUCUGGUCGUGACAGUAAGCAUAGUACCUUGUUGCUGCAACUGAAACACCACGAUAACCCCAGAUCCACUCAGCGUGAAUAUGACGGUUUAUUCUUACGUAUCUCUUAUCGGCCACUGCUUGUACAAGUCCAGUGGAAGGUUUAAGGAAAUUCCUUUCUACCCAUUGUUUGUUAACAGCAUCCUUAUCAUUUACAGGAUCCUUUAGAUCAAGAAUACCACUUGAAUCUCCCAUGUCCAAAUCACCCUUUACCAGUCCACCUCUACUACUCAUGAACUCAUCAGUUGCCCACCUUUUAUUAACAGCUGAACCGUCAGUUGUAGGGUCACCAACUCUAGUUAACUCGAAAUCGUUAACAUCUAGAUUGCUUGCUAAAACACCACCAUCACGUUUCAGGAACUGUUUACACCAAUUGCUCAUAGUUCCAUAAGAAACUGCACUAGAAUCCCCAACCGAGCCACUAUUUAGCCCCGUAAUACUAUUACCACCCAUAUCAAUAUUACCGCUCAUAGUAAGUCCACUACUACUAACAGAACUCCCACUGACAUGAUCCGUGACCCAUUUCUUUGACACAGCAGAAUUAUCAGUUGUAGGAGCACCUAAUUUUAUAAUCUCAUUAUUUCCCAUAUCAAGGUCAUCAGAAAGUGUAAGUCCACUGUAAGUCUCACGCUUACUUCUACCUCCAGAGAUCUUAUUUUCAACCCACCCUCUAUUUACAGCGUCUGUGAGAUACUCAGGAUUUCCGAGUUCACGUAUUCUGUUACCUUUCAUCCACAAGGUGCCGGUCAUAUUGUUUUUAGAACCACCCACACGCGUGACAACAUUAUUUUUUACCCACCCCAUGGAAACAGCAGAUGUAUCAACACUAGGAUUACUAAUAUUUUCAAUUUCAUUUCCACCCAUCUUAAGAUUACCAGUCAUUUCACUUAGACCGUUUAGUUUAAGAUAGGUAACUAGCUGGCUAAAUCUUACAAGACUGGCUGAAUCUAACCCAUCAGAGAAACUUUUAGGGGCCUUAGAGAAGCUAAUAGGC